UCCGCUCCGGAGCGCAGGGGGCGUGCGGAACCUGCGCGGGGCGGUGGCGGGGAGAGAGCAGCGGCGGCUUUGCUGGGCAGCGAGUGCGGAAAGCGGCACAGGCUGUGCCAUCGCCGAGAGCCGAGCGGGCCGGGAGCACACGGGCAGACACGGGAACUCGGCAAAUCCAGGCCGGGUCCUCAAGACCGGGAUGCAGUUUCUUGGAAAGGAGAGUAAUAUGGGUGUUGUGGUCGAAAGCGGUCGUUCCAAAACAGUAGAUUUAAAGCACAAGAACUGCCUCUUAACAAAACUCAUGAACAUGCAAACACCUCUUUUUCUGAUGCUUAACUAAGGUGUGGCCUUAAAGCAUGCUGGCAGUUGUGGAAGCUCCACGGGUUUGUUUUUUACCCCCCUUAAGAAAUAACUCUUACCUUUUCCACAGAGCAGCGUGGGUGCGGUGGGGGCAGUCACCGCGGGCUGUCUGUGCUGCGCUCACACCCUGCCUUUCCUUGCAGGAGCUUGUUCUCCAUGCACUGAGCCCAGUCCUGUUACUGGGAGCUCUGCUUGCUGUUUUCAUUUCACUCUGCAGAGCUGGAGACUUAAAUUAUAUACAGGUCAAUGCUAGGACAUUUUCGUGGAGCUUACUCAUUUGAAGUUUUUUAACUUCUCAAUGUGCCAAGACACUUAUGUCCUUAUGGUGUUUAUUUAUUAAAAAUAACUAUCUUGCUUAUGCCAGCAGCUGCUGUAAAAAUGCAGUUUGCUGCUUUUUACAUAAUAUGGCAUUAAAUGUAACUUUUGCUAUUUAAUAUUUGAAAAAUAAUGUUCAGUUAAUCAUGGCAGAGUAAUUGAAUAUAAUAUUUGUAUGUAAUAUUGUCAUUACUGCAUAAUCUGGACUUUAAUGUCAGGAUGAUGAAAACUUGAGUUAGCACAGUUAACUCCCGACCAAGGAAGAGUAUUGGCUGUGUGGUUUCAUGUCUUGUACAAGAAAUGUGCUUAGGCAAUUUUGCCAUUUUAUAUCUUUGUUUGCCACCUUAUGCUGGAAGAACACAAACCCUACUGUUUGCUUACUUCUUCCUUUUGAUGUCAGCUCGUUAUUGUAGGCUUUUCUAUCACUUGCUGCACGGCUUUGCCUGGGACAGUGGUUUUCAGUUUUUUAAUGGGUCUGUGAGUUGAGUGGCCGGUGAGAGAUUCUUGAAAUGUUACAAAACCGAGCCUGCAAUGACUUGUCCGGGGGCAGCUGUAAGAACCAGUGGCCAGCAGUGCCUUCAACAAUUCGGGAUUUGAUUUAACCUUUGUGACAGAUGGGAAGUUCUGUGAAAUAUAUAGGAACAGUUUAUUCUAUUUCGCUACCCCUAAACUGUGGUUCAGCAAGAAGAAGUCCCAGUGACAUUAGGUUUUUCAGCCUUUUGAGUGAUUUCCAGUCGGAGGAUCAGAACAGGAAUUCAAUAUUCUGUGGGACCCCCAGAGCAGGCGGGUCCCUCCCCCGGCAGGCGAAGGACGGGCACUGCAGCACAGCUGAGCCUCUUCAGGAGCAACCUACACGGAUCACACGGCUCAGGGCAGCACUCGUGACACGGCACUCGGACAAUGAACCAAUACAGAAGACGAAGAAGAGAUGCAAGUUUGGGCUACUGGGAGGUUCCUGUAUCUGCUUGGAAUUAUCAUGGCUCUGUUACAGAGAUUGACUUGACCCAGGCAGAGGCCAGAUUUCAAGAAGUGGCACACUUUUAAACAACCAUUAACAGGUCCUUGGCUUCGCCCUCCCCUGUUCAUCACUAAUGCUGCAAGAGGCACCACUUCCCAGUGCUGUCACCUGAGACACCUUCAGCCUCAGAGUGACCCAACUGCAGCAGAAGGAUGUCACCUCAAAUUUGAUGUUUGCCAGAAAGCAAGCAGCUGCGCAGGCUGCAGCUUUGAAGGGCACAGACAUCAACGGAGGAAAGAUGUCACUGAAGAUCUUCCCUCUGUAAAGCAGAAAGCUCACUGACUGCUAAUAAAAUACAUUCCAUUUC